rnacentral:lncRNA from 1 species
UUUUUUUUUUUUACUUGUGGCAAAGAAGCUUGUCCUAUUUUGCAAGUUUAUUGAAAAAGGCAGGAGUUUAAAAACCCUAACACCUUGAAAACUCAAUUUUAAAUUUAUAGCGUAGCUUUGUAUUCUCUUUGAAACCAAAGACAAAUUUCCUACUGAUUUUAUCAGGAGCAAUAUAAAGGUCUGCAAAGAUAAGUAAUGUUCUUUCUCUCUCAUGUGAAAACAUGUCAUUGGGUUCCUCCCUGGAUAGUUUUGGCUAUAUCAUUACAAACAUACACCAAGGACUGAAUGUGGCCUCGCAAUGAAAAACAUUUUGUUUAUUCAAUUUGCAAACCUCAGAAUGAAGGCCCUACUGGCCCUGAAAUGGGAAGGAGGAAUACAGAGCAGGCUGCCAUGCAAGGUAGGAUGACUCCUUCCAUGAAUAGAGGGUGUCCAGGAAGUCAGUACCCAGAGAGAUAAUUUUGAGCUACAGUAUUUCAUGUUUGCCCUUACAUCUGUCACAUGGCUUGUCCUCAGAGUUGCUGAGUGAUAAGUGCCCCUAAAAAUCCUUUUCUCUGUUGCAGGGGAGCUAGUGUGGAUUCAGUCAUCUACCUUAACUCUCAGAUCUGAAACUCCUGCUGAGAAGCUUUGUUGGUUUGGGUGGAAGAUGUCAUCAAGUGUUUUUCAGAGAAGAGUGGCACUUUAACAGCCAACUCAAAAGGAGGGAAUUUCCUUUCCAGGCAGAAUGAGCAGGCAGGUCUUUUGUUGAUCACCAAGUCUGUGGUUUAUUUAACUGGGUUUUUUUUUGUGUGCUGAAUGCCCUAGCUGGUGAUAGGGCUACCAGGCUCCACUGCCAGCGCCAUACUGUGGCAGUAGGGCUUAUAUCUGACUUCCUACAGCUGCAAAUGCUGACAGCACUAAUAUUUCACAAUGCCUGGGACACAACCACUGGAAUGAAGGAGAGAGUCUUCUAACUGAAUUCAUGCAGUGAGAGAGUCUAAGGAAGAGUGGCUUUCUGCAGAAGGGAAAGCUGCUCCUAGGAGCAGCUGCCCCCUGCUUUUAAGCUACAAAGCCCACUCCUAUUGCCGAGUCCAUGCUUGGUUUCUUAUGCCCUAAUGUGUUCCUUUUCUGACUGAAUUUUACUUUGUAUCUUCCACUUGGAUAUGACUUGGCAGAGCAAUUCAUUCUCUGUUACCUUCAGACUAAAUUCCUGCAAAAGAGAAUGAGGAUGGAAGCAAGUUUGAAACUUAGCUUGUGCAAAGAGCCAUAUGUUAGUUAACAGUAUUCUUGAUUUAGUACAGCUGAGCCUUUAAGGACAGAUCCUGCUCAUGAAAGCUCCUGUUGAAUCCUUUUUGUCCUGUGGUCCAUACAGCUGUAUUGGCAUGCAGUUACCUUCCUGCUUCUGACUUCAGUCAUGGCUUGCUGGUCAGCCUGCUCGUGUUAUGUUAAUUGUAGACUUUGGUACAAUCUCUUCUGUGUCGGAGAUUGUUCUGCUGAGGUUUGGUUUUGAGAAAUUCUGUCCACUCAUAACUGGAGCUAAAGCAAAGAACAUUGUUGUACACAGAGAGGAUUUUUAAUCCUUUAUACAUAUAAAUAAUAUUUUCAAUUAUGAGUAAACAUGGAAAAUUCUAGUAUAUUGAUAAGCUUCAGCUUUUAAUACUGUUUUGUUCCUUGGCUCUCAAGUUCUGUCUCCAGUCAUGAAUAGGUAUUUUCACUGCUGAGACAUUUGGUCUGCUUUCUGUUGCGAGCUCUCUCUCAGUGAUUCACUUUGGUCUCCUAAGAAGUUGGUUUGCUCAAGGUGGUGUAGCUGUUGUUAUCCUUGAGAAUAACACACAGGUCAUGGAUGAUACAGAUAACAAAACAGACGCUGUUCAAAGAAACCUCAGUUCUGAGAGUCGAUGUUAAUAAUCCUUGAUCUCUGCGGCUGUGUAUAAACUUGACAGUCUGCUUCAAGGGUAGACUGUUAGUAUUUUCAGUCUUAACUAAAAGGUAGCCAUGCUGUGGGAUACAUACUGGAAUAUCACUAGGAUCAGAAUUAUUAAACUGUAUUAUAAUCUCAACUGGGAUCACAUCUGAGACUCCACAGUCAACACAGGACUCAGAUCAGUAGCUGUUGGAGCUAUAGUUGGCAGUCACACAAAUUUGAGAUUGGGGUCAAAGCUGGUGACAUAACUAUCACUAAUGAUGACAGAUAUGUCAGGGAUUUACAGAUAUUUUGUAUUUGUUUGAAGGUGAGCCUAGAUAGAAAAACUUUUUCUGAGUUUUCAUUGUUCCUUGUGGUAAUUGUAUUUAACUCAGUUCCACAAGGUAAAUUGGCAUGGGAGAGCCCAGGCAGAGAAGAAUCAUAAGCAGAGCAAAGUAAAUACACAUCAUAUUACAAGACCAUACAGGCAGAUUAAGCCCUACCUAAAUGUGGGGUCUGCACCCUUGCUGAAGUUCUGCCACAGCCCAACCAGUCCACCAUGAUGGAUCCUUAGUGCUGGGAAUGAAAAAAAUCAUCUUGUGCACUUUAAUGAAACAUCUGUAGGACAGGCUAUACUUAUUAUGUGCAUGUUGGAAAAAUGAGGUAAAGAAAGGAAAAGGGUUAUAAACAUAGAAAAAUGUGUACAUUUGUUUUCAACACAGCAUGAGACAUGUAGCACUUUCAGUGGACUGCAUGACUCUGGGCUCAGUUUAAAUCCUGAAAUUCCAAGACAGGAGAAUUCCUUUUGAACUCACCGAGAGAGAGACAUUGAAUUUUGUGUGCAUUUGGAGUUGAUUUCAGAUGUGAUCCUUGCAAUAAAAGCACUUGAUGGAUUUCUGAUCUGUGAUGUGCCCAAGGGUAUCUCUUUCUGUGGCAUAAGUUGAUAGUGGGCCUAGCCAGCACAUACAAUGCUUAUUGUUCCUAAAUCAGAACACUUAGAACUUGCAUGGCUUGUUUAAACAACAUUGCAGGUCUGAAGUUCUUUUGCAACAUCUUAGGAGGGCACUAAAGCUGUAUAAAACAGACUAGGCCUGACCCCAGGGAAAUUAGGACAUCAGUUCAAGGAGUCUUAUUCACUAAUUUUUUCAGCAACCCAAGGACAGCAAUUGUAUUCUGCACCUGGAGUACUAGUUUGUCCAAGGCAAAAAUUGCCCCCAAAUUUUGCUUUCUGUCUUCAUGCCUUUUUAUGGCUCUGAAAGAAUCUACAGGGUUUUUCCACAACUCUUCUCUAAAAAGAUGCCUUUGUUUUUCCUAGUACUGCCAUAAAUGUGUCCCUGUGGGUCCUGGGAUAAAGACAAGGAUUGUACUUCUGAAUGUGGAACAUCUAAAUACUUCCCUUACAACACACUAGGUUAAAGAUAACAUGAUGUUAAUUGCCUGUUGCUUUAGUAUCAUUGCGGAAAACCUGGUGUAUUUCUGAAAUUUUCUAAAGCAUAUUGCAGAAAGCCCAUACAGGUUUAAUCCUGUGGUCUGCCCAGACUGUCAGUGUGCCCUUGAGCAGGUUAUUUGGUCUCUGGGUAACUCAAUUUCUUAUAAUUGACAGAAGAACAUUAAUCUAAUGUUGUUUUUUAUGCUGGGGUAAGAAGUGCAUUAAAGACUGUAAAAUCCAUGUAGUCUGCAAUGGUCAAACCACAUAAGCCAUUAAGAUAGAUGUCAAAAUAUUUGAAUACACAAUCUGGCCAGAAGAGCCUGGACCUCUCCAUGAGAUAUUGCAGCCAUGCUUUGCCUGUCUGUGCCAGAAUGCUGUACUGCCUUGUGUGUCACUGUUAAUCAGCAUUUCCCUUCUUGAAAGGAUUUGUUGGAGAGCACCAUUUUACUCCAUCUCAGACAAUGCAGGCUGACUGAAGUAUCUGGGAAUGCUCAUUGCAGACAGUAAGCUUUGAGGUGAUGAUAAGGGACCCCCUAGCCGGAGGAUCCUGCUGGUGCUUGGGUGUUAACUGGAGAUGGUCAGGGCUUCUGUGGUGUCCUAGAUCAACACACUUCAUUGUAGUUCUCUGCAUACACUAUCUUGCAUCAGAUCUGUCUCGUUAAAUCAAUGGAAUUAUUUAAAUAAAUUAUUUUUAUUAAUUUAUUAUAUGAAAAAAUUUAGAGCAAAUUCCUUUGAUGUCUGAUAUCCUAAUCACACCCGUAGGGCAUUAGCAAGCACAAGGCACAUCUGAGUGUUUCUAAUUCCCUAGUGGUGUGAUUAUAUCUCAUAAUAUUCACAACCCCCUGGAGCUUCUUUACUGGUAUAAAUAAAUCAAUUAUUUAAGUCAAAUACUUUGAUCAUUAGAAGCUGCCAGUGAGUGCUUGAAUGCCUGAGCUGUGCAAUUCACCAGGAAUGAUCUUGCUUCUCAAAAUGCUGAGCAGCCGAGCUGAGUGCUACCAGCACUUCAUUUCAAUCUGCUUUAUAAAUUAGAUUAGAAGUCAGUUUCCAAUGCUUCAUGCUGGAUAGCAAGGAAGGGAGAACUUUACAGGAGUGGAAUUACGAGAUAUUGCUGCCAACAGAUCCUUUUAUCAUUUAACACUGCUGUCAUAGGUUAAAUGUGAGCUACUGCUCAUAUUAACUAAUAGCUAUUAUACUGAAAACUGACACAGGGAUUCCAGCUAAUGCACCAUGAACCUGGUUCACACUCACUGCAUCAUAUUAACUAUUAUUUGCACAUAUGGAUGGAAAGGAGUUUUGAGUCACUUGGGAUAUAUGGCAAAUUAGCAUUUUAUAUCAUAUUAAUGAAGUGCUAAUUGCUCCUUGCAACCUUUUUUUGUGCAAAUUGAAUGGGUCCUAUUUGCAUUGUCAUCUAACUGCUGUAUUACCUUGCAGCAGUUUCAUUAGGAAGAGGCAGCACAGAGUUCAUCAAGGAAAAAUAUUAGUAAUUGUGAGAUAAUUAGUUAUGAAACUGAUAUUGUAAAAAGUAGACUGGAAAUACUGCAGUUAACUUUGGUUUAGUUUGGGAAUAUUUUAAUUAAUAGGUUUUAUAAGAUAUCUUUCAUUUUACAUACAUUAAACUAACAUCUUUACAAAGAUUCCUGCUUCCAUAUUUUAUUUUUCAGUUCCUGUAAGUCAAGGUGCUUCACAUCUUCUAAUGAAACAUGAAACACAGAAAAAAAAAAUAAUAAAUAAGGGAGGAGUUUAUUGCUGGAAUUCCAAGUCUGGAGCUCUUUGGAAUUGCAGAAUAAGAAAAUAUCUCUAAAGAUAUUGAAUUUACAGGUGUCUGUGAGUCUGAUCAAACACCAGCCAAGUCUGUAAAACAGUUGUUAAAAUGUUGAAGAUGUUGCAGUUAUAAUCAUUUACAGAAUCUUGUUAACUAUCACAGAUACAAUUCUCGGUAACUAUAAAAUACAGUAAAAGUAUAGUAUGUGAUGUUUUCACCCAAUACAGGUAUUUUGGAGAAGAGAGACAGGUGGAAAAGAUGAGGUAAAAUUGAAAGGUGAUUUCAUGCUAACUUGAGGAUGUUUCCGUGAUUGGGGAGGAAGCAUGAUUAAUUUCUGAAGCCUCUGUGGGAAAGGCACCCAGACAAAAUGACAUAAAUCUCCAUUAGAGGAUUUAAAUGCUUUUGCCAAGAAAAAAGUGAGCUGAACUUUAGGUACAUGGCCCUUUGCCAGUCAAUUCAUCCAGAUUUAGGGCCUGCACCUUUUCUUUUUCAGUGAAGUAUUGGGUAUGGACAGAUUGCUAGUUACAGCCGAAGGCGGUGUGACAGCUUUAUUGCUGUUGCAUGGGCAGCUUGUUGUCUUUGAUUGGGAAAUAGGCUGUGGACUUCCAGAAAGGUAUGUACAAAGAAAUGCUUCCAGAUAUUUGUAGUAUUAAAACAAAGGUUGUUAUUAAUACUGAUUGACUAAUACUUUCAUCCUCUCUCUUUUGGCCAUGUAUACUAUGCAUGUGUGUAAAUGUAGACUUUUGUGUUUAUCAAAAAGAGAAUCUCAUCUUAAGAGACAACUGAAUGAAGAAACUGUGCAUAGUACAGUCUGUCAGAGUAUAUUCGCAAAAGUCUGCAGGGACUUAGGAGUCACACCUCAAACAGACAUCCUGAGCACAGAAAAAAAACAGGACCUUGUCCCAGGCAGGCAUGAAGCAAUGCAGUAAGGAAAGAUUUUCUUGCUGAUCUAAGCUUAAGACUUUUUCCAAACAAGCAGAAGCAGCUCAGCAGAUUUUUCAGACCUAAAAUGUGGAUAGGGAAAUUUGCAAAUUUGUUUUUGCAAAUUUAAAAAUAAAAAGUCAUCCUGGCUUACCUGAUGUAAAAAAUGUGGAUCAUCUGGAUUUCAGUUGUAUUCUGAAGUUGUAUUCUUGAGGACCAAACCAGAAAUACUUGAUUAUGGUACUACUUGCAUCCAAUUUGUACUUCACCAAAGGAACUGUAUAAAUGAACAGAACAAAACUGUCUUUAUGACUUUGCAAAAUGCUUUCCAACCUGUCUACACAAGCUGACUUGCUGAAGUCUCUAUGGUAAAAAAUAUUUUCUCUCUCUCUCUUUUUUUUUUUUUUUUUCCUUAAAAUACUAUAUAGCUCUUGCUAUGACAUUCUGUGAGACUUCAGUAGAUACUUUUGAGAACGAAAAUAUUAUUUUAUUGGUAAAGUCUGAGUGCAUCAGCAAAGUCUUACCUGACAACCCUGCACAAGCUUGCUGUAUUGUGUGUGUCAGAGUUAAAGUUUUAAUGGGUUGGUGAGUUAUCACAACAAAUGUGGACCCUGUGGGGAAUUGUUUACUGUGUGUAAGACAAUGAGGAGAUCAUGGGUGUGGGCAGGAGAAAAGGGCAAUGUGGCAAUCUCAAGAAUUUUAUGGGUUUAUGUUAAACAAACAACUGCAGUAAUAUAGGAGGUUAUCAGGAGCCUCAGGAUAUUCAAGAGCAAAGCUCUGGUAGAGAGUAGAGGAAUCAGAUGCACAAACAUUCUUCCCUGCUGACAGGUAGGACUGCUCUGGUAUAUUCCUCUGCUAGUCCAAAUGAAUCUGGAAGAGCUGAGCAGAAAAGGGAACUUUUGGUAAAUGAGGAAGGCUGCUUCUGGCUUCGCAGGCUGCUUCCUGUUAUAUGCUCAUCUCUUUUCCAGGCACAGCUGACAGGAGUCCUUGCUGAGCUCCUGAAACUGACACUGCUCUAUGCAGCUGUUAGGAUCUAGUUAGAGUGCAAACCUAACCUAAGCUCAUGAUUACAAAAAGGUAGUAAUAUUUGACACAGUGUUUAGUGACCUGUGAGAAAUGAAUUCAACUUCACUAUGAUUCCCUGAAGUUACUUUGCCUGCUUAGAAAAUCACUCCAAAUUUCCUCAGUUGGCACUGAUUUUUUUUUUUUUUUUUUUUUUUUUUUUUUUUUUUUUUUUUUUUUUUGCUGUGCCUUUGUCCUAUGGAAGCAAAGUGCUCUGAUCGUGAAGAAAAGCCAGCAAGUGUGGGCCAAGGAGGGGGGACUUCAGGUCAGGCUUGGAGACACCUUGUUGCAAUGUCAUGGAAGAGGCUUAAUUUCUGUUGCUGAGAUCUG